GACGUAGGGCGCGAGCGUUGUCCGGAUUGAUUGGGCGUAAAGAGCUAGUAGGCGGCGCGUUGCGUCGGCUGUGAAAACCCGCAGCUCAACUGUGGGCCUGCAGCUGAUACGGGCGGGCUGGAGUUCGGUAGGGGAGACUGGAAUUCCUGGUGUAGCGGUGAAAUGCGCAGAUAUCAGGAGGAACACCGGUGGCGAAGGCGGGUCUCUGGGCCGCAACUGACGCUGAGGAGCGAAAGCGUGGGGAGCAAACAGG
rnacentral:rRNA from 1 species